UGCUCCCUGCUGCGUCCAAGAGAACUUCUAGGAGGACGUAAGGACUUUUAAGAAGACGGAAGAAAUUAAAGUGAAAGGGCGGGUCACAACCUGCUACCUAAAAUAAGCCGAGACCAGGGGUCCAUCAGAAGCUGGGCACAUGGGAGAGGGCCUGCUGUGUGUCUGGCGCAGUCCCAUCCUUCCCCAGAAAGAAGUAAGAGCCUGAAGAGAAAAGGGAAGACCAUCAGUCUGCCUUGACACGAAGAUUUCAAGCCAAGCGAAGGCUGGUACCAAAAGCUGAUCUGGAGCGGCGAGACUCUGCACUGAGGAGUGGGGAUAUGCCUUGCUGCUCACCCCAGGCAGGCUCCAAACCCCGGCCCCGUCUUCUAAAUUGAGUUUGGCUGCACCUUCCCCCCGCCCCCAUUUCUUUCCAGAUUCUUCUUGCCAUUCCCAGUGGGUGGCUCCCCCACCCCAUCCCCAGGAUAGUCACCCAGUGUCCCAGGAAUUGUCAGCUUCAGAACCCUGGAGGAGCGAACGCCCGCGGUGUCGGGGCAAGUGGGGGGCGGAGGAAGGACUUGCGCGGAGUUCGACUUCCUGGAGCUGCGGGUGGAAUGCUUUUUUGUUUGCCUUCCUUCUAAAAACUCGAACGAACCCCAAAGUGGCGAUGUAAAGGACACGCGUGGAUGACAACAGUAUUUCCAACUCGGAGUCGGGAUCCCUUUGGCACUUAUUUUCUCUCUUCCGUUGCAGUUUGUUUUUUAUCUAAUUGCAGAUUUUUGUCUGGGGCAAGCACCGAGGCGGGCCAGCAGAGCCUCAAGCCGGUGUCUCCACUCGAUACAGAGAACGCCGCCGCCCGCACGGGCGCAAACGCUGGGACCCCGACAGAGAAUGUAAACAAACGGGGCGCCGAGCCCUUGAUCUUUAUUUAAAUAGAGGCUUGUUUAUCGGUGUCAUCCUAGGAGGAUUAAUUAGAUACAUCUCUUCACAAUUUGGUGUCUGACACUCCAUCUUAGGAAUGCCUUAUCACAAGGUGUUAAUUGGGGCCACUCAGCCACUUACGUUUCUAUUAAACACUGCGAGGGACUUUUCACAAGUACCAGGUUCUUUUUACUGUACGGUGCAAAAAUAUACAGGAUCGAAAUAGACUGGGGCCAGUGUCUGCCUUAUCCCGGCGGUGAUUAGCAUUUUCAGUCUUUCUGGAGGGCAGAAUAGGAGAACACCGUUUCGAAAUUCCAUCGCAUCUCUCAACAAGCUCGAGUUCCUUGGGGAUGGGAAAGGGGGAAGCGCUGAUCAAAUUACGUGGCUACGAUUUCUCCUCCUCCAGUCUGGGUCUUCCGUCCACAGUAAACACCCGUAAA
rnacentral:lncRNA from 1 species